rnacentral:lncRNA from 1 species
GGAUCACGGAGGUUUAUUAAUGAGAAUUUCCCCGUUCUACCUCUGGGCUUAGUCUGUGUGAAAAUCUAAGAAAGGCUCAUUAGUUUUUAUAUUAGUCAGGGUUCUCCAGAGAAUCCAAACCAAUAGGAUGUACAUAGGUAAAGAGAUUUAUCUUAAGGAAUUAGCUCAUGUGACUAUGACAAUCGGCAAGCUAAAGACCCAGGAGAGCGGUGGUGUGUUUCCAGUUUGAAUGCCAACAGGCUUGAGAUCAGAAAGAGUGGAUGUUUUAGUCUGAGUCCAAAGGCAGGAAAAAAUCAUGUCCCAUCUUAAGGUAGUUGGGCCACAGUUCCUCCUUACUUGGGGGAGGGUCAGCCUUUUGGUUUUAUUCAGGUCCUCAACAGAUUUCAUGAGGCCCACCUGUAUCAGGAAGGCCAAUAGUCCACUGAUUCAAAUGUUAAUCUCAUCCAGAAGUACCCUCCCAGACACACCCAGCAUAAUGCAUGACCAAAAUGUCUGGGCAUCCUGUGGCUUAGUCAAGUUGACAAGUAAAAUUAACAAUUGCAGUUUUCAUUAUGGAAGGCUAACAUUUCAGCCUAAUUGUUUGGUGAUCAAAGCUGAUGAUUCUGUCUCCAAUCAGCCCUACAGAAUGCUGAUCUUCCCACAUCAGAGAUAUGGUAUAUAGGACUUGCUGGAAGCCAAGCUGGUUUGUGACAUCUGGGACACUAGACCUGCUACGUCAGCUGCUAUGAACAGCGGAACUGUUUUAAGUGACUACACUCAAAACUACUCCUUCCCCAGGGUUUUGAUAAUUCCUCCUGCCAAUUAUAGCACUUUGCGGAGAUUAACUAAUUAAUCCUCACCACACACCCAAGAGACAAAAUUAAAGAUAAUUCUUUCACACGUGUAAAGCACUUUUAUCUAAGGAUUACUAGCACCGAGGCAUUUGUCUCCCAUGACAACGUUGCAAGUCUCAGAGAUGACAAAGACGAUCGUUACCAUUUCGGGAACUGGGAACAAAGAAAACUCUCCCCUCCAGGACCCAGAAGAGGACCCUGGGAGGGGGGGUAUCCCAGAACAGGUACACGUUGGCAAGAUUGGCACUGGAGUGCUAUGCCUGCGUUCCUGGGGUCCGAAUGGGCAUGUCCAGGUGGGGCUGUGACCCCCUCUGGCCACCUUUCUUCAUGCUGUCCAUAAAACCCCAGGGAGCUGCAGAGAGAGAGAUGGUUCCACGGGGGUAUCCCAGCCCGUGUUUGGCUUCCUCCUCUCCCCCCUUGUCUCCAAAGUGCGGGUUCCUGAUUCUAUUUGCCAAGUUCUGUCUGUCACUGAGAUGAAGUGGAGCCAGUAGGCCAACGCCGUGGGGCAGGGAGAGCCUGAAAACAGCAUUGCAAACGGAGGACCUCCAGGGAGAGGAGGUAGGUGGGGUGGGAGGGAGACAAGCCAGUCUGCCAAAGCUCUGGAAACAGCAUCUGGGGGGAAAGAGGGGGAAAAGAGCCCUCUGUACUUCGUGACCCGGUGAUGGGUGUGCUGUGAUUCCUUUGUAAUUCUUUGGCAGUGCAGAUGCGUGCUCCUGAGGGCCGCUGAGGCCGGGGACUGCAUGGUCCUGCCUCACGGCGCGGGGGCUCCACCCACGGGGCUCUCAUACGGGGAUGGAGACCCAAACGGUCCCUUUGGAGACACGUGUC